rnacentral:lncRNA from 1 species
GAGCAGGGGCGUUGGACUAGAUGAUCUGCAGAGGUCCCUUCCAAUCUCAACCAUUCUGUGUGAUUCUGUGUCUGUGUUAAUUCUGACACUUAGCUCUUUCUCAACUAGGCAAUAUGAUUUCUGGACUUUAGACUAAAGAAGCAGUCUGUGUAUGCUAUAUGAGCAUUGGGGAUUCUUUUCAGGGGGAGAGGGAUAGGGUGCUUUGAUUUUUUUCUUGUUGUUGUUUCCUUUUUUUUUUUCCUCCAUGAGAGCUUUCAUGGUCUGUGCCAUAAAUGUGAACUUUGUUGGUAUUUUCUCAGGAAAUUGGAUUCUGUGAGAAGGCCUCUUUUGCUACUUUGGUUCUCUUCCUGAAGACAUUAAUUUUGUCCCCUUUAAGUCUCCAUUAGAAACUCCUUUAAAAUCAUGGAAACUAUGUACAAACUGUCUAAUGUAUUUGCUCAUAUUGAUGUAACUUAUUCAGUCUAAUAUCCCUUUAUGUGUACUUUUUUUAAUCUUAGUGAAGCGAGGACUGACAAAGGACAUAACCUGUCUGAAGGAUUUUAUGAGAGAUCCCAAAAGAGAAGAACCUUUAGUUGGAUUAGAACAUGUGGUUGAAAUCAGAUUUGAAGGAAGAAAAGAGCCACAUUACGAGUGCAAGCUGUGUGGGUUUAAUACAGAGAUGGCACCUAUGAUAGAACAUCUUAGUGGAUAUAAACACAGAAGAGCAUACAUUUCUAAAGAAUUUCCAGAUAAAAUGAAGAGAAAGACAACAGAUGUAAAAGAAUGCAAAGUCUCAUUUCUCAGACGGAUAGCAGGAGAGAUAGAGAAGACUGAAGGAUUAAAAAUGUAUGAGAUUGAAGGUUACAUAAGACCAAGUACCUCACGUAAGUUUAUGAAUUACUUGAAUAUAGUAUAUAUAAUAUGUAAUUGA